UCCCGGUUAACCCGGGCAGUCUCACUAGAGUGCUCAACUUAAUGGUAGCAACUAAUGAUAAGGGUUGCGCUCGUUGCGGGACUUAACCCAACAUCUCACGACACGAGCUGACGACAACCAUGCACCACCUGUCACCUUGCCCCGAAGGGCUUCACUCAUCUCUGAGUUAUGCAAGGGAUGUCAAGUCUAGGUAAGGUUCUUCGCGUUGCUUCGAAUUAAUCCGCAUGCUCCGCCGCUUGUGCGGGCCCCCGUCAAUUCCUUUGAGUUUUAGCCUUGCGGCCGUACUCCCCAGGCGGGGAACUUAAUGCGUUAGCUGCGGCACGGAUCUCGUGGAAUGAGACCCACACCUAGUUCCCAACGUUUACGGCAUGGACUAC
rnacentral:misc_RNA from 1 species